AGCGACUGUUUACCAAAAACAUAGGUUUCUGCUAAGUCGCAAGACGAUGUAUAGGAGCUGACGCCUGCCCGGUGCUGGAAGGUUAAGGGGAUCUGUUAGAGCAAUCGAAGCAGUGAACUUAAGCCCCAGUAAACGGCGGCCGUAACUAUAACGGUCCUAAGGUAGCGAAAUUCCUUGUCGGGUAAGUUCCGACCCGCACGAAAGGCGUAACGAUUUGGGCACUGUCUCAACAACAGACUCGGUGAAAUUGUAAUUCCGGUGAAGAUGCCGGAUACCUGCGACAGGACGGAAAGACCCCAUGGAGCUUUACUGUAGCUUGACAUUGGGUCUUGGUACUACAUGUACAGGAUAGGUGGGAGGCUUUGAAACCAGGACGCCAGUUUUGGCGGAGCCAUCCUUGGGAUACCACCCUUGUAGUACUGGGACUCUAACCAUAGGCCAUGAAUCUGGUCUUGGGACACUGUCAGGUGGGCAGUUUGACUGGGGCGGUCGCCUCCCAAAAGGUAACGGAGGCGCUCAAAGGUUCUCUCAGUACGGUCGGAAAUCGUACGUAGAGUGUAAAGGCAAAAGAGAGCUUGAUUGCAAGACAUACAGGUCGAGCAAGGAUGAAAAUCGGACUUAGUGAUCCGGUGGUUCUGCGUGGAAGGGCCAUCGCUCAACGGAUAAAAGCUACCCUGGGGAUAACAGGCUUAUCUCCCCCAAGAGUCCACAUCGACGGGGAGGUUUGGCACCUCGAUGUCGGCUCAUCACAUCCUGGGGCUGUAGUAGGUCCCAAGGGUUGGGCUGUUCGCCCAUUAAAGUGGUACGCGAGCUGGGUUCAGAACGUCGUGAGACAGUUCGGUCCCUAUCCGUCGCAGGCGUAGGAAAUUUGAGAAGACCUGUCCUUAGUACGAGAGGACCGGGAUGGACGUACCUCUGGUGUACCAGUUGUCCUGCCAAGGGCAUGGCUGGGUAGCUAUGUACGGAAUGGAUAAGCGCUGAAAGCAUCUAAGCGCGAAGCCAACUUCAAGAUAAGAUUUCCCACCGCAAGGGUAAGACCCCAGAAAGACUAUCUGGUUGAUAGGUCGAAGGUGUAAGUGCAGCAAUGUAUUUAGCUUAUCGAUACUAAUAGGUCGAGGACUUGACCAA
rnacentral:rRNA from 1 species